UCGGGAAUUUUGGGCAAUGGGCGAAAGCCUGACCCAGCAACGCCGCGUGAGGGAUGAAGUAUUUCGGUAUGUAAACCUCGAAAGAAUGGGAAGAAUAAAUGACGGUACCAUUUAUAAGCUCCGGCUAACUACGUGCCAGCAGCCGCGGUAAUACGUAGGGAGCAAGCGUUGUUCGGAUCUACUGGGCGUAAAGGGCGCGUAGGCGGCGCGGUAAGUCACUUGUGAAAUCUCUGAGCUUAACUCAGAACGGCCAAGUGAUACUGCUGUGCUAGAGUGCGGAAGAGGCAACCGGAAUUCUUGAUGUAGCGGUGAAAUGCGUAGAUAUCAAGAGGAACACCUGAGGCGAAGGCGGGUUGCUGGGCCGACACUGACGCUGAUGCGCGAAAGCCAGGGGAGCAAACG
rnacentral:rRNA from 1 species